rnacentral:misc_RNA from 1 species
AAUUUCCUAACUUACCUCUGACCUCUGACACACUUAAGGUGAUAUUAUCGAGGUGAUAUUGGGAGGACAGGUUCAGUGUAUGAGACUGGCUUCUUUUCUGUUCCCAUCAUUCUACCGUUGGUUUGCUGAUUCGUGAAGAACACUACAAGAAUCAAAAUGCUGGGAUUCAAAUGGAAAGAUAUUUGGAAGAGGAUGAAGAUUUUCGGGAUAGAGUUUGCUCCCCUUAGGAUUCCCUUGGAGCGACGCCUGCAGACUGUAGCAGUUUACCAGUUCACUCUGUCGUUCUUGUUCCUGGGAUUCUUCUGUGUCUUCCUGUCUUUCUACCUGCUAUUCACACGUUUCUACUACAUAUCCUUGAUCUAUGCAGUGUGGUACUACUAUGACCGCCCCCGGAGCUCCCGCGGAGGUCGGCGUGUCCAGUGGGUCCGCAGUUGGAGUAUAUGGAAGUACUAUGCCAACUUUUUCCCUCUGAAGCUGACAAAGACAGUGGAGUUGAACCCCAACAAGAACUAUAUAUUUGCAAGUCAUCCCCAUGGUGUUAUGUGUUACAGCCAUUUUUGCAAUUUUGCCACAGAAGGCACCGGAUUCAGUGAAAUAUUUCCUGGCCUGCGUCCAUACUUACUUACCCUCGCAGGCCAAUAUACGUUUCCAUUCUUCAGGGACUAUUUUAUGUUAACAGGGUCCUGUAGUGCAACCAAGGAAAGUAUGGAGUAUAUUUUAUCCAAGGUCGGGAAGGGCAACGUCCUUGGCCUUGUUGUUGGAGGAGCCAUUGAAGCACUGAAUGCUUCUCCUGGAAACUUCAAACUCAAUUUGAAAAGUCGGAAAGGUUUUAUAAAAAUAGCCAUGAAACAUGGAGCGGAUGUCUGUCCUGUAUAUUCCUUCGGAGAAAAUGACUUAUAUUCUCAAGUGCCUAAUCCAGAGGGGUCCUUUGUCCGCAAAUUACAGCUAGUGCUAACCCGGAUAUGUGGGUUUUCUCCACCAAUAUUUUUUGGGAGAGGCGUGUUCAAUUAUACCUUUGGACUCCUGCCCCACAGACGACCAAUGAACACAGUCGUGGGAAAACCUAUUGAAGUUACAAGGAAUGAGAAUCCCACCAAUGAAGAAGUGGCUGAUCUUCACCAAAAGUACAUCGAUGCUCUGAAAGACUUGUUUGAAACUCACAAGACCAAAUAUGGCAUUGGUGAAGACGAGCAUCUUAUCAUUGAGUGAAAACAAAACCAAAUAUGUUUCGGAUGAAGAGAACCAUCUUAUCAUUGAGUGAUAAAAAGAUCAAACAUAAUAUAGUUGAAAAUGAACUUCAUAUUGAGUGAUAACUCCAAAUAUGUUAUGGAUGAAGAGAGCCAUCUAAUUAUUGAGUAAUAAAAAAGACCUAAUAUUACAUAGAUGAAAAUUAAUAUCAUAUUGAGUGAUAACACCAAAUAUGUUAUGAAUGAAGAAAGCCAUCAUAUUAUUUAAUGAUAACAUGACCAAAUAUGGUGAUGAGGAGAAGAGACAUACUAUUAUUGAUGGCAAUACCAAAUAUGGUGCUGAUGAAGAUUGCCAUUUUAUUACUGAAUGAUAACAUGACCAAAUAUGUUGCUGAUGAGGGAAGGGGUCUUGUUAUUGAUAAUAAGGCCAAAUAUGGUAUGGAUGAAGGGAGAGCCAUCUUAUUAUUAAGUGAUUAUUAUUAAGAACACCAAAUAUGGAGUUAAAAGACAGCAAUCUUAUUUUAAGUGGGAAAUCAGAAAGAACAGACAAAUGAAAGUGGAUGAUAAAUGGUGUUUUUUGACAUAUCAACUAACAGUAAAUUGACAGAAAUGACAGAACAGAAACUUUUAUCGCCCAACAUAAACUAUUUUGAUGUAUUCUUGGGGAUUAACAUUCUUUGAGGCUAGUCCUGUUAAUACAAUAAAUCAGGAACAGAUGUUUUAGUUUAAAACUCAGUUGUGCAAAACAAUCAUAGCACCAAGCCCAUUGUAACUGAAGCAUGAACAUAAUGUGAUGCAGUCUGCUUAGUGCCAUGUUUAAGUUUGUGCAUCUGGACCAUGAUAUUUUAACAAUUCUUUUAUUUUUAACAAAAUGUUUUAUUUGUAAGUAUUGUAAUGUUUAAGUGCACAGCAAACAUCACCAAAUAAUUUUAUGGCGAAGUUUGGAGAUACAAAUGUUAGUGAUAAUGUUUUGGACCUUUCAUGUUCACAGAUAUUUCCAUAGGAAUAGUGCAAAUGGUCUUUCAUUUCUGCAUAAUCAGCAAUAUUUCAGGCUCUUUGAGACAAUUAAUGUUUUUAUGCCAUGCAUCAUAAGCAUGAAAAAUAGCCCUGCUAAUUAAUGAACUGAUAUCUCCAUUGUGUUUGUUUGUUUGUUAUUGCUUCAUGUUUAAUUGAACAUUGUGAUAACUGGAUAAUCUUACAAUAAUUAUGUGUUGAUCUGUUUCAUGAAUUAUGUACUUGUAUGAACUACAUAUCACUAUAAUGUUUGGAUGUUUAAGAUAUGUAGAUGAAGGCAUUUCAGUCUGGGAAGAUGUGUAAUAUUUGUGAGCCUGGUUUUACAACAAUUGUAUUUGAUUUGUCAGGCUAUGUCCAUGCUAUUCCUCGAAAGAAUGAUUCCGGUGCCAUGUUGAUGUAGACUCUUGGAAAAGGAUGAAUAAUGGCAUAAACGGUAUUAUGUUAAAUGAAUAUACAUAGAGAUUAAAAAACGAGUGGGUGUUGAAUAUGGAAAAUAUUCUGAGAUAUUUUUAAAUGUUUUGAUUUAUUCAUGAGCAAAAUCAACAUCCACAAGUUUUGUGAUGUAUAUAUUACCCACAGGACGGGAAAACAGUGUGAUCCAUGAUGAAAUAUCAAGCAGAGGAUGUGGAUGUAAGCAAAACAAAAGGGAGAUAACUCUGUCAAGACUACCUUAUAGAUGAAAAUAAACAAUUAAAAAUAUUCAAUUGAAAAUAAUACUAAUCCCCAGGACACCAAAAUUGAAUUGUAAUUGUUUGUUUGGUUGACAUUUUUGGUAAAAAACUGCUUUGGAGUUAUAAUGUUAUUUAAAAUAUCGAGGUGGCAACAGAAGGUUCGGCAUUAUGACGUCAAUAUCGUUGAAUAACCUAGCUUGGUUACACAACACUUGUUGGAUAACUUUCAACUGGUUACACAACACUGUUUCAAAUGACCAAACUUAUCUCAUAAAGAUAUUGAGAAUAUGUGUGUAAUAAAUGAUAGUGUUCAAAACUGUGUUAUGGUGAAGGUGAAUAGACAAAAGUUGGUUCUGGUUUAAUAUAUAUAUCGAAAUUUAGACAGAUAUUCGCCUCUCUGCCUAAAACUGACAACCCCUCCAGGAGUUGCAUCAGGAAACAUUUUCAAUUUGGCUUUUAAUUUCUUGGCAUAACCAAGUACUGCACCAAGCAGGAUGUCUUGUUUCAUAUCUGGAAAAAAACCAAACAGGCAGUUCCAAAUGGAAACAAAAAUGAUCAUACUGUACUGCCAGCGAAGUUAGCCUCAAUCUGUCACUCUCUUGCCUGUUGGUUGCUUUGUCGCCCUUUCAUUGUGUCAUCUAAUGUAUUGUCCAGGUGAGGGAUGCAAUCUUGUUUCUUAACCACAUCUAUGGGAUCUACUUGGGUGGAGUAUUUGACAGUGACCUCCAGGCUCUUUAGGUCGAAUGGAGGGACACUAAGGGUAACUGUAAGGGUAAUGAAAUUUACUUUAUAUUUUUAUAAUCCUAACGUCACUAACAUUUCAUCAGUUGCCAUAUUUUUUUGUUGGCAGUAUAUAUGUUUGUGUUAAUGUAUAUGCACUGUGAUGAAAUACUGAAAAUCUUGAAAGGACUGUAAGAUGAAACUAAUGAAAAAUAUUUUUCUUGCUUGCAUUUCUAAAGUGACACAUUGAGUUCAUGAUUUAUGGUAGACAAAUAUCAUCUGUGACAGUCUUAGAUGUCUUAAACCCGUGAAGAUCCGGGUUAGAAUUGAUCUUCAGUAACCCGUGUUUGUCAUAAGGGUGGUCAGGCUUGCUGACUUUGGUUGACACGUCAUCGUAUCCCAGUUGCGUAGAUCGAUGCACAUGCUGUUGAUCACUGGAUUGUCUGGUCCAGACUCUUAUUUACAGACUGCUGCUGGAAUAUUGCUGAGUGCACUAAACUAAACUCACUCACUCACUUAGAUGUCUUAGCACUUCAACUGUGGUAAGCUUAACAUUCCUGUGAUUCUAAGACAUCGCACUGUAGUUCCACUGCCAUUAUAUCUAGUCGAGAGCCUCAGUACAUAUAGUAAGAUGUGGCAUAACCUCACUAUGCCCCUAUUGUAUACUUAUAUUUAUAUCAACUGCUCACCAUUCAUGAGUGUCAUUAAAUCACAGUUUUAAAAUACUGUAUUGUUUAACAACCUCAAUACUUACAGAAACACACACACACAUGCACGCACACCCACUACACAGAGUUUAGUUUUGAAUUAUGUAUUAAUAGUAUCUAUUCCAGAAGUAAACUGUGAUUAUCAUUCAGUCUACAUAUACUUAACUACUGAUAUAUACUGAUAAAUUGAUAUAUACUGGUAAAUCUAUCAGUUUGUCCAUGUGGUGUAAGGUAUAUCGUUUCACCACUGUUUCUUAUCAAGUGCACAAUCCAAGAUGUUAUAAAGUUCACCCCUUCUAUCUGUGACUUGGUUGAUGCCUAGACUGCUAAUCAUUAUAGAGGUGUUCACAUGCACUACAAUUUAGGGAUAACAUCUUCUCUAAUAAAAACUAUUAGAGUCAUAUCAGUAUUUCUCACAUAUGUUCCCAAGCAAUGUCUAAGAAAUGCUAAAAAAACUAAUAUUGUUUAUUCAAUACAAAGUAGAUAAAAUAUUCAUCACCAUAUCCAACAGGGUAUGCUUUGUAUUCUAAAAAUCUAUCUUACGUCUAUAUGGAUCAUACUUUCAUCUAUGUAGUUCAUACAUUCAUAUUACUUAAAUUUACAUAUAUGAUAAUCUACUUACGAGAAGGGAUCAUCUAGUAUCGAAUUAAUAAUUUAUUUUCUUAAGAAAUCGACACAAUUUCCUGGACUGUUUUAUGUAACCCCUGGCUUAAUUGACAUAUUUCUUUGAUGUUCAGCCUCGAGUUUUCUGUAUUAAGAGGCUAUCAAAACAUGAAAUGAGGUACCUCUACACUGAAAUAUGUCAAAGUUUUGUUAAAUGAAUAUAUUUAAUUUUGGUUAUUUCUUCAAUUUCAUGCUGAUACUUUGAAAUGAUUUCAGUUGUGAAAUUACAGAAAAGGCAAAAUGAAAAUAUAUGACAACAUGUUGCCUGACAUUUAAAUAUAUCGAGCAUAUAUUUGUAACUCAUGUUUGUUAAACCAUAUCCAACUUGGUUUGUAACUACACAACUCAAUAAAAUGGUCUCACAACACCUGGUGAUGUUUAAAGUUGACACCACAAAGCAUGGAUGUCGACCAAAUGCAGGUAGUUGCCCCAAGAUAACAGUGUGGCAGGUCAAAGGAGACCUAGCAAUGAAAUAUGUACAGAACAAAUUAUUUUGCAAAAAGAGAAUUCUAUAUUUUAAUAGUUAUGUUUGUGUCUGAAUCUGUAUUUUAUCAUUCCUGCAUAAAAUCUCCACUGCUGGUGUAAAUAUGUGCCUCAAAACCACAAUGUGAGAAGUGCAUUGUUUGUAGUUUCUUAAUGUUUUUAUUAACAUCACUUUUAUUAAUAAAUUUAGUGUUUCCCA